rnacentral:ncRNA from 1 species
AAACGAAAAUAGCAAAUCUAUCGAAAGAUUGAGGCGCAAAGCCACGGGCCUAAAGCUUCAAGCAAUGGCAGCCGGGUUGCCGAA